AUUGAACGCUGGCGGCAGGCCUACACAUGCAAGUCGAGCGGAUGAAGGGAGCUUGCUCCUGGAUUCAGCGGCGGACGGGUGAGUAAUGCCUAGGAAUCUGCCUGGUAGUGGGGGAUAACGUCCGGAAACGGGCGCUAAUACCGCAUACGUCCUGAGGGAGAAAGUGGGGGAUCUUCGGACCUCACGCUAUCAGAUGAGCCUAGGUCGGAUUAGCUAGUUGGUGGGGUAAAGGCCUACCAAGGCGACGAUCCGUAACUGGUCUGAGAGAUGAUCAGUCACACUGGAACUGAGACACGGUCCAGACUCCUACGGGAGGCAGCAGUGGGGAAUAUUGGACAAUGGGCGAAAGCCUGAUCCAGCCAUGCCGCGUGUGUGAAGAAGGUCUUCGGAUUGUAAAGCACUUUAAGUUGGGAGGAAGGGCAGUAAGUUAAUACCUUGCUGUUUUGACGUUACCAACAGAAUAAGCACCGGCUAACUUCGUG
rnacentral:rRNA from 1 species